rnacentral:rRNA from 1 species
UACGUAGGGUGCAAGCGUUGUCCGGAGUUAUUGGGCGUAAAGAGCUCGUAGGCGGUCUGUCGCGUCUGCUGUGAAAAUCCAGGGCUCAACCCUGGACCUGCAGUGGGUACGGGCAGACUAGAGUGCGGUAGGGGAGAUCGGAAUUCCUGGUGUAGCGGUGAAAUGCGCAGAUAUCAGGAGGAACACCGGUGGCGAAGGCGGAUCUCUGGGCCGUAACUGACGCUGAGGAGCGAAAGCAUGGGGAGCGAACAGG